rnacentral:rRNA from 1 species
UAACACAUGCAAGUCGAACGGUCUACCUCGACUGAAACCUUCGGGUUGAUGACGAGAUCUAGAUAGUGGCGGACGGGUGAGUAACACGUGAAUAAUCUGUCCUCAAGUCUGGGAUAACCUGGCGAAAGUCGGGCUAAUCCGAGGUAAGCUGAGAGUGUGGCAUCACACAAUCAGAAAAGGUGGCUUUGCCAUCGUUUGAGGAGGAGUUCGCGGUAGAUUAGCUAGCUGGUGAGGUAAUGGCUCACCAGGGCAACAAUCUAUAGCUGGUCUGAGAGGACGAUCAGUCACACUGGAACUGAGACACGGUCCAGACUCCUACGGGAGGCAGCAGUGGGGAAUCUUCCACAAUGGGCGAAACGCCCGCCGCGCCCCGC